rnacentral:antisense_RNA from 2 species
UGUGGGAGCGGGCUUGCUCGCGAAAGCGGUGGCACAGUCGGCAUUACUGCAAACUGAUUCACCGCCUUCGCGAGCAAGCCCGCUCCCACA